UACGGAGGGUGCAAGCGUUAUCCGGAUUCACUGGGUUUAAAGGGUGCGUAGGAGGGCAGGUAAGUCAGUGGUGAAAUCUCCGAGCUUAACUCGGAAACUGCCGUUGAUACUAUCUGUCUUGAAUAUCGUGGAGGUAAGCGGAAUAUGUCAUGUAGCGGUGAAAUGCUUAGAUAUGACAUAGAACACCAAUUGCGAAGGCAGCUUACUACCCGAAUAUUGACACUGAGGCACGAAAGCGUGGGGAUCAAACAGG
rnacentral:rRNA from 1 species